rnacentral:lncRNA from 1 species
CAUUGUGACAUAUAUCCAGGCCAAUUGCCUAGGUGAAGUUUGUCUCCUUUCCUGCCUAAGCCCUGCCCACGGGGAAGAUUUAGAUAUAUCACUAAAACCAGCACCCAAGUGAUGUGACUCUUCACCAGAGUCCUGCCCACAAGGAGGAUUGUGACAUUUCACUGGACCAGCACCCACUCAGGAAUCAAAUCCGAGUUCGUCUACAGCUGAUUCGGCAGGUACCAGGGCGUCCGCGAUGGUGAGUGAUAGCACCGCGAUGGUGGUAUUGCUCCAUAUGCCUGAGACCCUAACAAAAGCCUAAUUACAACUCAUAUGCCUGGAGCCAGGACAUGUGCAGGAUGGUGAUAUAACCCUCUUCUCUGGAAUGGGCCCCACACAAAGGAAGGAUAGUGACAUAUUGCAAGCCCAGGCACACAGGCCCAGAGCACAGUUGAAAUUGUGACAUAUGUACACCAAGCAACCAAGCAAUGUAUAACACCUCAUUUGGCAAUGGAAUCGAGGGCACUUUUACAUAUCACUGAGACCAGCGCCCAGCUGAUGUGAAAUAUUGGCCUGAACCCUGCCUACAAAAGCAUUGUGGCUUUUAUCUAGCUCCAUUACAUAAGUGAUGUGACUUCCUUCUACUGCCUUGGCCCUGCACUUAUGGUGAAUCGUGACACAAAAUUGGGUAGAGCA